rnacentral:rRNA from 1 species
GACGAACGCUGGCGGCGUGCCUAAUACAUGCAAGUCGAGCGAAUCUUCGGGAGCUUGCUCCCAAAGAUUAGCGGCGGACGGGUGAGUAACACGUGGGCAACCUGCCUAUAAGACUGGGAUAACUUCGGGAAACCGGAGCUAAUACCGGAUAAUUCCUUUCCUCUCAUGAGGGAAGGCUGAAAGACGGCUUACGCUGUCACUUAUAGAUGGGCCCGCGGCGAAUUAGCUAGUUGGUGAGGUAACGGCUCACCAAGGCGACGAUGCGUAGCCGACCGGAGAGGGUGAUCGGCCACACUGGGACUGAGACACGGCCCAGACUCCUACGGGAGGCAGCAGUAGGGAAUCUUCCGCAAUGGACGAAAGUCUGACGGAGCAACGCCGCGUGGGUGAUGAAGGUUUUCGGAUCGUAAAACUCUGUUGUUAGGGAAGAACAAGUACGAGAGUAACUGCUCGUACCUUGACGGUACCUAACCAGAAAGCCACGGCUAACUACGUGCCAGCAGCCGCCGUAACAC